UUAAAAAAAAAACUACCUUUGAAAGUAGAAUGGCAAUGCAGUUCAAUCAUCUUUCUUUUGCAGUUUCAAUUAUGUGCAUUGUUUUUGUCAUGGUUGCAGGAUUUCAAGAUUCGCCACAUCUUGACAAACCAGAUUGCUUCCUUUCGUUUCCAUGUCCACAAAACGAUGGACCUUGUAAAAAAGUUUGUAUUGAAUAUGGUUUUCCUAAAGGUGGAGUGUGUCAACCAAACGGGAACAAAUGUUGUUGCAUUGGAAACUAGAGAGAUAUGUGGUUGAUAUUUGUACAAUCUCAAUGUUUGUACAAGAAUAUCUACAAAUAAAAUCUUCAAAUAUUUUCCAAAAUAAAA